UACAGAGGGGGCGAGCGUUAUUCGGAAUUAUUGGGCGUAAAGGGCGCGUAGGCGGCCGUGUAAGUCUCGGGUGAAAUCCCUCGGCUCAACCGAGGAACUGCCUUGGAUACUGCAUGGCUUGAGGCCGGGAGAGGGUAGUGGAAUUCCCAGUGUAGCGGUGAAAUGCGUAGAUAUUGGGAGGAACACCGGUGGCGAAGGCGGCUACCUGGACCGGUUCUGACGCUGAUGCGCGAAAGCGUGGGGAGCAAACAGG
rnacentral:rRNA from 1 species